rnacentral:rRNA from 1 species
AGUGAACGCUGGCGGUAGGCCUAACGCAUGCAAGUCGAACGGCAGCACAGUAAGAGCUUGCUCUUACGGGUGGCGAGUGGCGGACGGGUGAGGAAUACAUCGGAAUCUACUUUUUCGUGGGGGAUAACGUAGGGAAACUUACGCUAAUACCGCAUACGACCUACGGGUGAAAGCAGGGGAUCUUCGGACCUUGCGCGAUUGAAUGAGCCGAUGUCGGAUUAGCUAGUUGGCGGGGUAAAGGCCCACCAAGGCGACGAUCCGUAGCUGGUCUGAGAGGAUGAUCAGCCACACUGGAACUGAGACACGGUCCAGACUCCUACGGGAGGCAGCAGUGGGGAAUAUUGGACAAUGGGCGCAAGCCUGAUCUAGCCAUACCGCGUGGGUGAAGAAGGCCUUCGGGUUGUAAAGCCCUUUUGUUGGGAAAGAAAAGCAGCAGGUUAAUACCCCGCUGUUCUGACGGUACCCAAAGAAUAAGCACCGGCUAACUUCGUG